GAUGAACGCUGGCGGCGUGCCUAAUACAUGCAAGUCGAGCGAACAGACGAGGAGCUUGCUCCUCUGACGUUAGCGGCGGACGGGUGAGUAACACGUGAAUAACCUACCUAUAAGACUGGGAUAACUUCGGGAAACCGGAGCUAAUACCGGAUAAUAUAUUGAACCGCAUGGUUCAAUAGUGAAAGACGGUUUUGCUGUCACUUAUAGAUGGAUCCGCGCCGCAUUAGCUAGUUGGUAAGGUAACGGCUUACCAAGGCAACGAUGCGUAGCCGACCUGAGAGGGUGAUCGGCCACACGGGAACGGAGACAGGGUCCAGACUCCUACGGGAGGCAGCAGUAGGGAAUCUUCCGCAAAGGGCGAAAGCCUGACGGAGCAACGCCGCGUGAGUGAUGAAGGUCUUCGGAUCGUAAAACUCUGUUAUUAGGGAAGAACAAAUGUGUAAGUAACUAUGCACGUCUUGACGGUACCUAAUCAGAAAGCCACGGCUAACUACGUG
rnacentral:rRNA from 1 species